ensembl:lncRNA
GGCAAUGAAUCCGGAAAGAUUUGCGAAAAGUCAUCAAUACUCCCAGAGAGAAGACCUAGAGGGAUGACAGAAAGGCUUGAUGCAAUCAAUAUGUGCUCGAUACAACGAUACCUGUGAGGUUUCUUACAAGACUGGAGCGUUGGUCAGGAAACCAUCAGUAAGUAUACAGAAUAAAGAAUAUAUAUAUAUAUUUUUUUUUUUUACAUGGGAAGGUUGGUUCUAUCCUAUGGUGUCAUUCGUCUUUGCAAAAAUGUUAAUAUACUAUAUAUGUAACACUACAGCAAAAUAUACUCAUUCCAUUAAAUAAAAGUGUGCUUUUUUCUAUAACUUGGAAUAAUCAAGAGCUGAAAGGAUUAGUCAAUUAAUAAGUCAUACAUUGCCAAGUAUUUUGAUGAUAAGUAAAACUUUUGUUUGUUGAGUCAUUUGUUGGGCAAAAAAUACCCUAAGCACUGUCUGGUUCCAGCUUCUCAAAUGUGAAGAUGUGCUGGACAGAUAAAACUCAAAUUUAAAGACACCGCCAUAGGUUGUGGGACAUUGGUGAAGGGCAUUUUUCAGCAUUUUUUUGAUGGUUUGUAUGCGUGUUCUGCUUGUGACAUAAGUGUUACAGGAGUUUAGGGUGCAAGCCUUCCCUUAUAGAUUACGCAUGUGACGCCAUGGUGGAAAUCCACACGCCACAUCACGGAGAGUAAUGAGACGAGACAAACACAAACCGCAAGCGGCGACAGAAAACCCCCCGAAAAACUAGUCUUGUCAAAUGCCAUGACAAGACUGUUUAAUGUAAAUGAACACAGAAGGGAUGUGUGACAGAAAGAGGGGGAAAAGAAAGAGUGUGUGUAUUGCUGUUGUCAUGUACAACCAUGGGUUUUAAUUGUGCUGCACCCUCGAAUGCCUCCACCAAUCAGGGGACUCACUCAGGCAUACUUCAGGGUGACCGCAAAGGAACAAGAAACAAAUGCAGGGCAAACAAUCCCGCUCUGAUACGAGGCCACUGAGCCCAUCCUGUCACGAGGCUUUCAGGAACAGACACUCUACGCUCUCUUGUUCAGAUUUUCCCCUUUUCCACCCCAUUUUUUGAUCCUACGCUUUCUUUCCUUUCACUUCCCUCUUUCUCCUUUCUGACUUUCUUACUCCCUCGUCUCCCUCCGUCUCCCUCCGUCUCCCCCCGUCUCCCUCCCCUCCCUCUCUCCCUCCGUGUCACUCGGCCCAUCUGGGCUGCCUGGUGGAGUUGGGAACAUCGGUCCCUGUCAGGGGAGCUCAGUGGGGCCCUGUUGAAGACACAAAGGGCGGAUUACUGCAGCUGCCAGUCACACUAAGACCCACACAGCGGCUCUUCGGAGUCUAUACCAGUGUCCUCAACCCUCACACCCAACCCUAUCACAAAGGGACAUCAUUAGCUCUGGCACAAAGGAAACCCCUGCUCAACCCGUCUUAAGCAACACUGCAAUCAGGCCCACAAAUAGUGUGAUUAGUUACGAUAAUAUGCUCGUGUAAUGUAUGCUAAGGCAGUGUCAUCUGCUCAAAAAAAGGAGGGCUGGGUGGAGGGGCUUUGUUUUUGAGGAGCAUCUUUCACACAGUUCUUGUGUCAUGUGUGCCAUAUGAUUGGAUUCAUUCAUUGUAGCUGUCUUACUCUCCCAAGAACAGUUUUGUCCAUAAACAUUCAAUCACUUUUAGUGGGAGGAGUUUUGGAGCUAGUGUUGUACUUUAAUCAUCAGUGCAAAUGACCUAAUGUUCAUGAAGUUCAUCAUCAAGACGUACAAAAGCUUUAUGUAAACAUUUUAUAUUUUAUGUUUCUCUUCCUUUGCUUGAGAUGAUCUUGAAGGAAUUUAGAGUCAGAGGAUUCAAUUUUUUGCCUCAUGAAAUUGUAAUGCUCAACUGGAAUGUUAUAUUAUAUAUUAACCAAUUUUAAUUAUACAUCAAAAAGGUGUUUUAAUUGGACUUUCUGGAGGAGUUUCACUCCUUGUCUUGAUUACGGCAUCUGCUGAGAUGCUGAUGUUCUUUUUUUGUCAGAGACAUCACUACAUUACUCUUAAUUGCAAGAACAAAGAAUUCCCCUCUCUUCACUCGCUCAUCCUCAAACAGGAACAAUACACAUCUUUUUUUGUUUGUUCUUCUUCUUUAAUCACUUCUCAUAUCGCUGAGAAGAAACGCUUUUUCUUUUCUGACCAAUAUUAAUUCCAUUUUCACCCACCACGAUCCAGCCUGAUCCCCUCUGACCGGAUUUUCUAAAGCGCCGGAGCAAAGCAGCACUCAGGGCGCCUGAAACAGAUAUUCACUGCUCCAACUCACAUGCUGGGUAGCUAACACUGUCCGGCAUUGUUAUAGUGUUUGCUGUAGACUAUAACUAAUAACAUCUCCAUUCUGGCCAGUGACUUCAUUAAAUUCAUGGUUACUUUUUCUGAGGAGCAUGAACAUGUUUUUCUCCGUAUCAUGUGUUAUGUUACUCCAUCAAUGCGUGAUGGGGAUCACAGAGGUCAACAUUGUGUCCGUGAUUCGCAAGAUGAAUGUGAAAUCUUGGCAAAACGCUUCCCUGACUGGAUGUUACAGUCUCUCUAAGGCUACAUCCACACUAAUAGUGUUAGUUUUAAAAUGAAUCCCUGCUGCCACGUCUAGGCCUGCCGUCCACAAUACUUCUAGUCUCCAACACUGAAGAGUUUGGAAACGCUGCUGGCACCAUUUUAGUUUGAAAACUCCAGGGAUGUUUGGAAACAAUGACGCAGUCGCCCGCAUUUGCUUCCUGGUUGAUUCUUAUCAACUUUCUCUCAUAACUCUCUGCUCGCAAAUAUAAAAUGUUGCACUGUACCUUUACAUACCAGGAUGAACGUUAUUUAGCUUUUGAGUACUUGUGAUAGAAGCAAAGUAGAGACUCAUUUUUACAGAAACUGUAGAUGGCUCAUGUCUGCAAUGACUUUUAUUAACUGUAUAAGCAUUGCACAUCUUUCCCCUUUUAUAGAUUUGUAGAGGAGCUGGACUUUUCUGUAUCACUGGUUUUAUCAUGGACCUGGGGAAUUCUAAUAGCAUGAGAACAGUCUUUGAAUUUGUUGGAUUAAAGCAUAAGGAAUAAUAAAAACGAGGCUCAAAGGCUUGAUGAAGUGCUUGGGAAUGCCUUUUAAGUCUGAACCUGGAGCAGUGGCGGUCGACAAAGAGAGGAAACGCUCACAUGUUUUAUGUGCGGUGGGAGGAUCCAUGGAAAUGUGUGAACAUUUUGCAUGUAAUCUCUGGAGGAUUAGCCUCUAUUAAAUCAUUAUCUGGGGGUUUCUCUCUCGCCCCCAUAGGCCUCUUUGUCUUUACGUCCGGCAGUGCGGUGCCUUAAAAAAAAAGUGACCCCAACAACGCUGGCAUUCGCAGACAUAUCAAACAUUUAGGCAGCAGCAAAACUGG